rnacentral:rRNA from 1 species
AACGAACGCUGGCGGCGUGCCUAACACAUGCAAGUCGAGCGAGAAAGCCCGCAAGGGUGAGUAAAGCGGCGCACGGGUGCGUAACACGUGGGUAAUCUGCCCUAGAGUCCGGAAUAACUCGCCGAAAGGCGUGCUAAUGCCGGAUGAGACCACGGGAGCCUCGGCUCCCGCGGGAAAAGGUGGCCUCUGUAUACAAGCUAUCGCUCUAGGAUGAGCCCGCGGCCCAUCAGCUCGUUGGCGGGGUAAUGGCCCACCAAGGCUACGACGGGUAGCUGGUCUGAGAGGACGAUCAGCCACACUGGAACUGAGACACGGUCCAGACUCCUACGGGAGGCAGCAGUGGGGAAUCUUGCGCAAUGGGCGAAAGCCUGACGCAGCAACGCCGCGUGUGUGAUGAAGGUCUUCGGAUCGUAAAGCACUGUCGCGAGGGACGAAUAAGGGUCGGGCUAACAUCCCGGUCCGAUGACGGUACCUCGAGAGGAAGCACCGGCUAACUCUGUGCCAGCAGCCGCGGUAAUACAGAGGGUGCAAGCGUUGUUCGGAAUUAUUGGGCGUAAAGCGCGUGUAGGCGGCUUAGUAAGUUGGGUGUGAAAGCCCUCGGCUUAACCGAGGAAGUGCGCCCAAAACUGCUUGGCUUGAGUACCGGAGAGGGUGGCGGAAUUCCCGGUGUAGAGGUGAAAUUCGUAGAUAUCGGGAGGAACACCAGUGGCGAAGGCGGCCACCUGGACGGUCACUGACGCUGAGACGCGAAAGCGUGGGGAGCAAACAGGAUUAGAUACCCUGGUAGUCCACGCUGUAAACGAUGAGCGCUAGGUGUUGUGGGUGUUGACCCCCGCAGUGCCGCAGCUAACGCAUUAAGCGCUCCGCCUGGGAAGUACGGCCGCAAGGCUA